UACAGAGGUCUCAAGCGUUGUUCGGAUUCAUUGGGCGUAAAGGGUGCGUAGGUGGCGCGGUAAGUCGGGUGUGAAAUUUCGGAGCUUAACUCCGAAACUGCAUUCGAUACUGCCGUGCUUGAGGACUGGAGAGGAGACUGGAAUUUACGGUGUAGCAGUGAAAUGCGUAGAUAUCGUAAGGAAGACCAGUGGCGAAGGCGGGUCUCUGGACAGUUCCUGACAGCUGAGGCACGAAGGUCCAGGGGAGCAAACGGGAUUAGAACCUUCCGAGUCAGACCAAGAUCCAGUCUGUCUACC
rnacentral:rRNA from 1 species